CUCAGUAACACGCACAGGGCCAGGCCCGGUUAGUACUUGGAUGGGGACUGCCUGGGAAUACCGGGUGCUGCAGGGG
rnacentral:rRNA from 1 species